rnacentral:rRNA from 1 species
CCUGAGAAACCCAAAAGAUCGAAUAGGGAGAUUCAUCGUCAGCUCAUUUUGUAUAUGUAUGAGUUAUGAUGCGAGUUACUACUUGUAGUAUUGCUUGCACAUUCUUAUAUAUUUAAUUGCAUUAUGUUGUCGGCGUGCACUUCUCCUUUAGUAGAACGUCGCGACUCAUUGUUUGUUGGUUUACGGCCCAAGUUAUUAGUCUUUAAUAUUUUAUUAUAUUAAAAAUUCUUGGUGCUUUCUAACCGGCUAUACAGUGGUAUUCAUAUGGUAAUAAGCCGCAAUUAUAUGCGUCCAUUUCCAUCGCAAGCAAGGCCAAUUUUUGGUAGUACGGACCAAGUGCCGUCGCUAGUAUUGGUCAGCUGUUGGCUGUUAUGGUAUUCUUGGACUGGCUGAAAAAAUAAUUACCGGUUAGCGAUGCUAUUGCUUUGGUGCU